rnacentral:rRNA from 1 species
UACAGAGGGGGCAAGCGUGAUUCGGAAUUAUUGGGCGUAAAGGGCGCGUAGGCGGCCUGGCAAGUGGAAGGUGAAAUCCCUCGGCUUAACCGAGGAACUGCCCUCCAAACUGCUUGGCUUGAGUCCGGGAGAGGUGAGUGGAAUUCCCAGUGUAGCGGUGAAAUGCGCAGAGAUCGGGAGGAACACCAAUGGCGAAAGCAGGUAACUGGACUAUUACUGACACUCAGCUGCGAAAGCUAGGGGAGCAAACAGG